UGGUGGGUCUAGGCGGGCGGCUAGGGGUCGCCUGACGGGGAAGCUCCUGCUUCCCUUGACCGCAAAUCCCCUAUAUGGCGGGCCGAAAGCCGGCGUGAGGCGUCUUCAACUCGCCACACAUCCUUCACGCUAAGGCAAUGAAAACUCGUCCCAGAGGGCUGGCGGUGGCCGUCCGCCCUCCGUAGGGAGGGUGUGUUCGGCCUUUACUAGGGAAAACCGGCUAGGCCCGGGAGAGCCGUCAUGGCCUCGAUGGAGCAACCUAACCCUAGACGUGUGGCGCUUCUGGGGGUGCGGGUUCGAGACCAAACGUGAAGGCCGUGGCGAGGGGUGGCGUCGAUCGCCGGGACUCACCA
rnacentral:SRP_RNA from 2 species